CCUACGGGGGGCUGCAGUGGGGAAUAUUGCACAAUGGGCGAAAGCCUGAUGCAGCGACGCCGCGUGAGGGAAGAAGGCCUUCGGGUCGUAAACCUCUGUCCAAGGGGAAGAAAAAAAUGACGGUACCCUUGGAGGAAGCCCCGGCUAACUACGUGCCAGCAGCCGCGGUAAUACGUAGGGGGCAAGCGUUAUCCGGAAUUACUGGGCGUAAAGAGUGCGUAGGUGGCUGCUCAAGCGCGGGGUUUAAGACAACGGCCCAACCGUUGUCCGCCCCGCGAACUGGGUAGCUUGAGUACAGGAGAGGAAGGCGGAAUUCCUAGUGUAGCGGUGAAAUGCGUAGAUAUUAGGAGGAACACCGGUGGCGAAGGCGGCCUUCUGGACUGUCACUGACACUGAGGCACGAAAGCGUGGGUAGCAAACAGGAUUAGAUACCCCGGUAGUC
rnacentral:rRNA from 1 species